UGGUGGGCAGUUUGACUGGGGCGGUCUCCUCCUAAAGAGUAACGGAGGAGUACGAAGGUGCGCUCAGACCGGUCGGAAAUCGGUCGCAGAGUAUAAAGGCAAAAGCGCGCUUGACUGCGAGACAGACACGUCGAGCAGGUACGAAAGUAGGUCUUAGUGAUCCGGUGGUUCUGUAUGGAAGGGCCAUCGCUCAACGGAUAAAAGGUACUCCGGGGAUAACAGGCUGAUACCGCCCAAGAGUUCAUAUCGACGGCGGUGUUUGGCACCUCGAUGUCGGCUCAUCACAUCCUGGGGCUGAAGCCGGUCCCAAGGGUAUGGCUGUUCGCCAUUUAAAGUGGUACGCGAGCUGGGUUUAGAACGUCGUGAGACAGUUCGGUCCCUAUCUGCCGUGGACGUUUGAGAUUUGAGAGGGGCUGCUCCUAGUACGAGAGGACCGGAGUGGACGAACCUCUGGUGUUCCGGUUGUCACGCCAGUGGCAUUGCCGGGUAGCUAUGUUCGGAAAAGAUAACCGCUGAAAGCAUCUAAGCGGGAAACUUGCCUCAAGAUGAGAUCUCACUGGGAACUUGAUUCCCCUGAAGGGCCGUCGAAGACUACGACGUUGAUAGGCUGGGUGUGUAAGCGUUGUGAGGCGUUGAGCUAACCAGUACUA
rnacentral:rRNA from 1 species